UAUGGGUUAGUGGCGGUCGGGUGAGUAACGCGUGGGUAACCUGCCUUACACAGGGGGAUAACACUUAGAAAUAGGUGCUAAAACCGCAUAAGCGCACAGCUUCGCAUGAAGCGGUGUGAAAAACUCCGGUGGUGUAAGAUGGACCCGCGUCUGAUUAGCUUGUUGGCGGGGUAACGGCCCACCAAGGCGACGAUCAGUAGCCGACCUGAGAGGGUGACCGGCCACAUUGGGACUGAGACACGGCCCAAACUCCUACGGGAGGCAGCAG
rnacentral:rRNA from 1 species